rnacentral:lncRNA from 1 species
GGGGUGUCCGAUUUAUAUCAAACGAUUACAAACUGACAAGCUCGGAUCUAGGUUUGAUAAAUAUAAUUUUGUAGGAUAUCCCAAGAAAAUGAGAGGAUAUUACUUUUACCUUCCUGCUGAAUAAAAGAUAUUUGUCAGUAGUAAGACACACUUUUUGAAAAAGAAGUUUCUUAAUGAAGGAACAAGUGCCUCUAAAGUUGAGCUUGACAAAUUUCGAUAGAUAGAAAAAUUGACACUAGUAACUG